GGCCCCGAGGCCCCGCCCCGGAGCCCGCCCCCGUCGUUCCCGCCCCGCCCCCGGCCCGCCUAGCCUUCUCUCGCCCUCCCCGGGCCGCGCGGCCGGAGCUGGCACCGAGGAGCGGCGGCCGCGGCGGCAUCGCGUUCUGGACACGCCAGCGCCCCUCUGGACAGGGCGUCCACGAGCGGGCCCGCCGCGCGCGGAUCUGCCUUCCGCGGUCCGGGGCUGCCCGGGGGGCGUCCGGCGUUCCCCGGGGGGCAUCCGGCGUUCCCCGAGGGCGGGCGUGUCCGCGGGGCCGCAGCCUGUUGCAGUGCGGGGGGCGCCGGGCCGGGGGCGCCGGGAGCCCUGCGGGGGGCCGCGCGGCCCGGCUGCCAGUGCAGAGCAGUUUUCUCCAAGUCUCCGCCUCCGUCUCCUCCGGGCCCACCGCUGCCGGGAGACCGCGUCCGGACCUGCCAAGAAAGGAGUGUCAUGAAAAAGGACACAGAAAAGACACGUCACUGUUGGUGAAAGGGGAGUUUUCUUUCCCAGUUGGUGGUUACUUCAUGAUUGGAAGAGAAGUAUCUAGGUGGCUGAAGAGAUUAGAUGUUCAUAGCUGUACCGAUGAAGCUGAUAAAAGAAGAUGGGAAAAUGCUUUCUCUGGGUCAUAAUAGGCUGAUGAAUGACAACUGAGGAGCAAACUCCAGAGCCUCCAGCCAGAAACUCAGCCUUCCAGCAAGGAAUGCAAGAGAGCAUGCACCUCUGCAUUGGGACCAGGUGCCACAGAUCUAUGAUAGUAGGGUUCAUACUACUGAAGAGAGAAAGUCCUUUUCUUUCUUUCAUUGGUUUUCCUUGUAUAUUGCUGUCCACACCCCUGCUGAGGUUCACUGUAUGCAAAUUAGAAGACACUAUUUUGCUGAUUCUUGCAUAUGCCAGCUCUACUGCCCCCUACUUAUCAAACUGUAGUUAUUAUGGAUAUGCAAGAUAGGUUAUGCCAAUAUGCUGACACUGAAAACAUGUGCUGACCCUCCCAGAAGCCCUCCUCUACGAUAUUGAUAAGUAACUGUGGCCAGAGCUGGGACUUAGAGUCAGAAUUCCUAUACUCACACACUCUAUCAUAUGGUACAAAGCAUAUAUAUCGGACUUUCCAUUACCGUAUCCUCCUGCUCUCACCAGCGAUCCCAGAGGUAACGUCUAUCCUGGAUUUUGUGCUUACUAUCCCCUUGCUCUUCUUUAUAGCUCCACCACAUAUGUCUCUAUCCUUAUCAACAUAUUGUAUAUUUUUGCAUGUUUGUAUACUUUAUGUAAACAGUAACACACUGCAUAUAUUCUUGUGCAACUUGCUUUUCUUUGCUCAAAAUUUUAUCUAAUGCAUGUUGAUGUCUGUAGGUGGACAUCACUUAUUUUCAUUGUGGUAGGUUCCAAUAUAUGCUAUUAUCCGAAAUACCAUACUUUAUGUAUCUUUCAUCUUGUUGGAUUUUGGGAAUAUUUUUAAUUUUUGCAAUUUCAAACUUUAUAUAUAAAACUGUUUAUAGAUGCUGUAUAAUGCACAUAUACAAGAAUUUUGUCAUUGUGUUUUUGUUUGUACCUAGAACCUUCCCACCCAGCCGCACUCCAGCCUAGUAUAUAUAUUGAGGGCUCAAAGCACAUCCUCAACUAUUCUUGGUACCAAAUUAUUAUUUUUACAGAUUGUUUGUACAAAUUGAUACUCUAGCCAUUGUAGAAAAGUUGGUGUUGCUCCAAAAUUUCUCCUGUACUUGACAUUUUCAUACUUUUAGAUGUUUUUCUGUCUAGUGGGGUAAAAGAGUGUUACUUUUUUUUUGCAGUUCUGUUAAUAACAUAGCACACGCGUGCAGCAAGCGCACUCAUGCGCGCACGUGCACACACACACACACAGUAUUCCUUACUUUUUCCAUUUGUGUUUCUUUUGUGAAAUGAAAUCCAUGUUCAUGUCUUUUAUCCAUUUUUCCAUUGCAUUCUUUUUUUUCUCAUUGAUUCAUUGACAUUUAUAGUAUAUUAAUAAUACUAAUCCUUUUUUGGUUAUACUCGUGAAUAACUUCUUGGCUUAUAUUUUCAUGAUCUUUCUACUAUGACUUUUGUGAUAUAUUUUGAUAUGCAGGUGUUCCUAAUUUGAAUGUAAACGAAUAUGUGUUUUUCUUUACUGCUUGUACUUUGUUGCAUCUUAUUAAAGAAUCUUUCUUAAGGUCUUGGCACUGAAGAUGUUCUCCUCUAUUUUCUUCCAAGCAUUUUAAUUUUCUCAUCAUCAUCUAUUGCCGCAAAACAAUAUCACCACAAAUGUAAUGGCUCAGAACAGCACAUGUUCAUCAUCUCACAAUUUCUAUGGUCAGGAAUCCAGGCGUGGCUGAACUGCGUCCUCUGCUCUUCUAUGUGGCUGCAAUGAAGUAGCUGGGCCUGGGAUCUCCUCUGAGAAGCAUCCACUUCCAAGCUCACGUGGUUGUUGGCAAGAUGUAGUUCUUUGUGGGUUGCUGGACUAAAAGCCUCAGUUCUUUUCUGGCUGUUGGCUGGAGACCCUGAGUCACUUGCCAUGUGAGCUUCCCCAUUGGCAGGUAACUUCAUAAAAGCCAAGAUGAGAGAAUCAAUAGAGAAACUGCUAACACAUUACCAUAAUCAUGGAAGUGACACCCAGUCAACUUUGGUGAGAAGCAAGUCAGAGGUCCCCCUACACCCACACCCAAGGGAAAGGGACUUCACAGGGGCAUGAAUCCCAGGAGAUGGAAGCACGGGCUUAUUUUAGAGUGUCCCUGCCACAGAUUUUGUCUUUUAUAUUUAAAUAUUUAAUCUGCUUUAUAUUAAUUGUUAUGUCUAUUCUGAGAUUUUUUUCUCCGUAUAAAUAACCUGCUGUCCUAGACUGAAGAGAUUCAGUACCCUUUUCUUUUCCACUAAUCUUCAAUGCCGUCUUCACUACACAUCAGGUCCUUAUAUUUUGUGUGAGCUGAUUUCUGAGUUCGCUACUGUAUUCUUCUGGCAAAUUCGAUUACCCAGUGACAAAACCGCACUAUCUUAAUUACUAUAGUCAUUUUGUUAGCCUUGAAAUCUGCAAGGCUUUUUCCUUUCUUUUUCUUCAUUUCUUUAGGCUUUGUUCUUCCAUGUGCAUUUAAGAAUUAGUUUCUGUAGUGCCCCAAAGCAAACAACAGUAAAUGUUAAUGGUAAAUGCAUUACAUCAAUUUUGGGAGAAUCGACCGCUUUACAUUAAUCCCUGUUCAUAAGCAUGGUAUAUCUCUGCUUUUAUAUAGUAUUUCUUAAUCCUUUGAUAGAUUUAAGUAUGAGCACUUUAUAUAUUGUUAUUACAGUGGAUGAUAUUUAUUUUUAAUUAUAUGUUCUAACUGAUGAUAGUAUAUAGAAAAUGCAAUUGAUUUUUGUGUAUUUAUAUUGUAUCAGGGAACUUAUAAAUCCUCUUACUAAUUUAAUAAUUUACCUGUAAAUUUUUUCAAAAUACUUAUACAGAUGCUUUUGUAAUCUUCAAGUAAUGAGAAUAUAUUUCCUUCCUUUUAAUCUUAUAACUUUUUAAUGUUCUUACUGGAUUUGUUAGGACGUCCUGUAAAAUACUGAGUGAGUCUGGUAAUGUGAAUAUUCUUGUACUGUUCCUAAUGUGAAUGGAGUGCUUCUACAUUUCACCACUGAGCAAAUGAAUGGAUGCUGUGUGUAUUUCAUAGAUUCACUUUAUCAGGAUAUCGUAUUCCCUUGUACUCCCAGCUGAUAAAUGACUUUUUAUCAUCAAAGCAUGAUGAGAUUUAUUCAAUGCUUUUGCUGAAUUUAUUGUGAUAAUCUUAUGUUUCUUUGCCUUUAUCUGUUAAGGUAGUGUAUUUUGUGAAAAUUUUUUUCUUUUGAGAUUAAACCAAACUUGGCUUGCUGUGAUAAAACCAGCCUGGGAAUGAUUCAUUAUAUUUAUAUUUGUUGCUGGAUUGAGUUUGUUAAUAAUUAAUUUAAGAUGUUUAUAUCAACAUUUGUAAUUGUGAUUUUCUCAUAAUAAACUUGUCUAAUUUUGAAGUCAACAUACUUGUCACAUAAAGUAAGUUAAGGAUGUCCUAUUUUUAUAUUUUAUAGGCGAGUUUGCAUAGGAUUGAAAUGAUCUAAUACAAGAAUGUUUGUUAAAACUCAUUUGUAAAAUCAUCUGAGCAUUCUGUUUUCUUUGUGGGAACAUUUUAACUAAAUAUAAGAUUUUACUUGGUGGUUAUAGGCUUAUAUUACUCGCCUCAUGUAUUUAUUUUGAAGCCUAUUUUGGCAAGUUAUGUUUUUAAAGAAUUUGUCCUGUUUGGUUUUUUUUUAAUUUUUUCACAUUUAUCGACCUAAAUUUGCUCAAAAUGCAUUCUGUUGCCUCUAAUUAUUCAUCCCCUACACAUGUUUUUUCCAUCCCUAAUACUGAGUAUGUGUGCCUUAUUUCUUUCUGUUCCUGGUGGGUUUUGGCUGGUAGAUAUUGAC
ensembl:lncRNA